UCCCCUAGUAACUGCGAGUGAAGCGGGAAGAGCUCAAAUUUAGAAUCUGGCAGCUUUUUGCUGUCCGAGUUGUAAUCUGUAGAAGUGUUUUCUGCAUUGGACUGUGUACAAGUCUCUUGGAACAGAGCGUCAUAGAGGGUGAGAAUCCCGUCCAUGACACGGACUACCAAUGCUUUGUGAUACACUCUCAAAGAGUCGAGUUGUUUGGGAAUGCAGCUCAAAAUGGGUGGUAAAUUCCAUCUAAGGCUAAAUACAGGCAAGAGACCGAUAGUGAACAAGUACCGUGAGGGAAAGAUGAAAAGCACUUUGAAAAGAGAGUUAAACAGUACGUGAAAUUGUUGAAAGGGAAACGCUUGAAGUCAGUCACAUCCUGCAGGACUCAGCCUCAUCAAUAGAUGUGGUGUACUUCCUGCAGGAUGGGUCAACAUCAAUUUUGGCCAGUGGAUAAGGGAGAGGGGAAUGUAGCGUCUUUGGUAGAUGUGUUAUAGCCCCCCUUCAUAUACAUUGGCUGGGAUUGAGGACUGCACCAUGGCCUUUUUGGCCAGGAUUUUUAGGAUGUUGACAAAAUGGCUUUAAGCGACCCGUCUUGAAACACGGACCAAGGAGUCUAACAUGCCUGCAAGUGUUAGGGUGGAAAACCCUUGCGCAUAAUGAAAGUGAAAGUUGGGAACCUCUGUAAGGGGGUGCACUGAUGCCCGGCCCUGAUGUUUACUGACGGUGCUGUGGUAGAGCAUGUAUGUUGGGACCCGAAAGAUGGUGAACUAUGCCUGAAUAGGGUGAAGCCAGAGGAAACUCUGGUGGAGGCUCGUAGCGAUUCUGACGUGCAAAUCGAUCGUCAAAUUUGGG
rnacentral:rRNA from 1 species